UUUUAAAAAGCGAUCCAAUUUCUGUGAUAUGGCAGCCCUCAUGUUGACGCGAAUUUUCAAAUUUAAUAUAAUUUAGGUACGUAUUAUCCCAAAAUAAUCCCAAAUUUUUAAGUAUUACUCAUAUAACGUGUUUUAAUAAUUAAACCGUAACUUAUAUGGUGGUGUCAUAAUAUUGAAGUAAUGAUAAAUAAUACCGAGGAACGAUGUACAGAAACACUAUUUUCAGCAAUAUAUACUAGUGUCGCCCAUUAUACUUUACCGAAGAUUUAAGACGAUUCACACAAACACAUUGAUUUGUACUGGCGGCAGUAGGAUAUUUUCUCCAACACAAUGGAAAGCAUAUUGGACAGAUGUCUCACUGCCAAGACCUUCUGUUUCUGCUUGAGUCCUCGGAUCGGCGCGUUCAUGAUUUCCAUUCUGGGGGUUGUACCUUGUGUCUGCUAUACGCUAUUUUGCUCGGAUGGAUCCCGCCACUUGACAAUGUACGGCGUGCCAGAGCAUACAGCUAUGGCAAUUGUUUAUAUUUUCAAAGCUCUAGGAAUUGUAUGUCUACUUAUGCAUGUAUUACUAUUUGCUUCUUUUAUCUUUCCUUUUGAAACACUCGUUUUGAUGUAUCAAUGGUUUAUAAUAACAUAUUUAUUUUUCGAUGUUAUUCUCAUAUGUAUAAUAGGGCUAAUAUCUACGCAAAAAGGUUAUCUUUUUUUUGCGAUGACGCUUGGAGUUUACGAAAUUAUUACUUGGCUGAUUGUGGGUCUAAUCGUUUUACCAGUUGUAAAUGGUUACAGACGCAACUUGAACACUGGAAGUUUAAAAAAUAGGUCUUCGGAUAACAAGGACAAUAAUUUAAGUACAUGUGAAAAUGUUUAGUGCAAUUAAAAUUGUAUUGUUAA